GAACGCUGGCGGCGUGCCUAAGACAUGCAAGUCGAGUGGGUUUAGACCCACGGCGAACGGGUGAGUAAUACCUAGGAACUUUCUUUAAGUAGGGGAUAACCAGUCGAAAGAUUGGAUAAUACCCUAUGUGAUCGCAAGAUCAAAGUCGCAAGACGCUUAAAGUGAGGCCUGGGCACCAUCAGCUAGUUGGUAAGGUAAUGGCUUACCAAGGCUAUGACGGUUAGGGGCCCCGAGAGGGGAAACCCCCACACUGGAACUGCGACACGGUCCAGACUCCUACGGGAGGCAGCAGUUUGGAAUUUUGGACAAUGGGCGAAAGCCUGAUCCAGCGACGCCGCGUGGACGAUGAAGGC
rnacentral:rRNA from 1 species